AUGGAUCCCAGGAACUGUCAGAGCCACGGACAUCACCUGGCACCAGAUGAUCUCAGCUGCUCCCUGAGCACGGAGGGCUGGGCGUUCUUCCUGAAACAGAGGGUCUUUGGCAACUCGCUUCUGGAUACUGAUGUGUUUACGGUCAUAUUCCCCAAUUGCCGGAAGCAUGGGGUGGAAACCCAUUCUGACUGCGGCGUCUCCAUGAACACCAGCAUCCUGCCUCAACCUUUGUUUCUGAAAAUCCUUUGCCCAUUCGAGCUCCUUUCAGGAUGGUUUAGAUUCACAAUGCGCAGGACAGGCUGUGGAGUCAGACUCCCUGGGCUUCUCUCCUUGCUCCCCCAGUUCUGGUGCCCCCAAAAGGGAUCCGGGCUGAGCUCCACUGGCAGAUAUGGGCCCUACAUCCCCGUCUCAGCAAAUCGUCUGCUUUGGGUGGUUGCCCGAGAGCUUAGAGGAUUGCUGUAUGGUGGGCUUUCUGGAGCCUGUUCUCCCCAGUUGUCUUAAUUGCUGUAGUUUGAAAGGAAUUCUAGUUGAGCGGCCAAGAGCACCAACAGCCUGCAGCCAGACGGCUAGGGUUCGAAUCUUAGAUCCACCACUCAAGACGGUGCAAAUGACUUAGCCCCUCUAUGCAUCAGCUUCCUCCUCUGUACAAUGGAGAUAAUGAAAAACUAUCUCCUAGGGUUACUGGAGGAGAAAUGAGUUACUCCAGGCAGUCUUAGGACAGUCCUUGGCAUUGGUGAAUCUUAUCUGUCAGGUGACUUCCUAACAAAUAAUGAUACAGAGACACCAAAGCACAAAUGAGCUGGGAGAGAGGAAAAAGAACUGCAUUUACGAAGCAGAGAGUCCAUUUCGUGUCCGACAAAAAAGAGAAUGGCUGAGGCGCCUUUCAGCAAGGCCCAAUCUUCGCUCUCCAGCCAGGGUGGAGUUUCUGGGCUGGAACCAACAAGGCGGAAGGGGAAGCCCAGCCACCUCCUUCCUGUCGCUGCUGUAGCCUUUGGGGCCAGCAGCCUGUGUGGCUUUUCUUUUAUGCUGCAUGAACCCUCCUCCUCCUCAUAACCACCAUUCCUCCCUUUCAAGCUUCACUUGAAGGUUGCAGAGCCCGUUCACAUCUCCCUUUACUCCCCUUCUAAUAGGCUGCUUGAAACAGAAUCAGGUAGAGUCUAUUGUUUUCCUGUCUCACAGCUGAGGAAAACAGGGCUUGGGCUUGCGAUUCAGCUUCAGUAAUAUUCCAAAACGUGCAAAUGUCAUGGAUUCCCUCUCUCUCUCUAUAUAUAUAUAUUUAUGGUAUGCACACACACAUAUACAUAUGUGUAUAUACCUAUACAUGUGUAUAGGUAUACACACGCACACACACUGUAUAAUCUCAGGGUGCCCAUAUAUAUAAUAUAAAUUAUUUACCUAUAUGUGUAUAUCUAUUUUAUUUGUUUACUCCCCUAGGGUUUUCUAGAGCACAGUUCGCAAACGACAUGCCGGCAUGGUUUCUCUAGGGGCUGGCUCUUCUGCUCUGAUUCUCAGAUGGUCGUCAGAAACGUAUUUGAUGGACGCCCCCAUUGACCUAGAGCCUGGGAAACGUAUGAUGUUUAAGGAGAGAGAUGCUUUGUGUCAAAAAUCACAGUCAAAUAAAAUUGAAGUAGCAAAGUAGCCA
ensembl:lncRNA